UCAGUUUUUUUUUGGUGGCCCCUCCCCC
rnacentral:piRNA from 1 species